UACUUCCUCCGUUCCUUAAUACUUGCUACAUAUUCCAUUUUGGGAAAUUUCACAAUACUUGCUACAUUUCCAUUUUUGGUAAUAAAUCAAUCAUUUAAAAUUCUACCUACCCCUACUUUUAUCAUACUCUAUACCUCUCUAACUUUUUUACCUACCAUUAUUUAAUCUUUAUUUAUUUCCAAUUAAAAUUAAUUUUCCCUCCAUAUUUAUUAUUCUCAUUAAAAACUCUACUAAUCUCCCAUAACCAACCAUCCCAAUUAAUUUUUUCCUCUAUUUAAAUACACUAUCUUAAUUAAUUAUUUUCCCAUUUAAACCAACCUUUCCAACUACUUAUAUUAAUGGUGGGAUGAAUCUUAGCCGUUGGAUUUCGUUUGGCAAAUCUGACCGUUGAUAUGCCUUUAUAUAAGGCACCCGUUUCCUUUCCCAACCCUAAUCCCAUCUUCCUUUGCCAUUUCCGCUCUCCAUCUCUCUCAUUCUCUCUGCCGUUUUCUCUUCCUAACCCUAAACAUCUUUGGGUUUCUUUCAUUUCAAAUGCGUUUCUGAGUUAAUUUCUUUGGUUUUCUUGAGCUAUUUCUCACGAAAGGAUGGAUUAGAUCUGGGUUUUUUCUGAUCUUUGGUUUUGUAUUUGGUUAAAGCUUUACAUCUGGGUUUUCCGAAAUUUCUCUAGUUCUUCUGAGUUGAUGAAAGAAAUUGGUUUGGAUCCAAAUUCUUAUGAACUUUUUAAGAGGAAAGGACAGCAGUUGGAGAAAAUUGAAAUGAAGAAGUGUUGAAAAUUUAUGAACAAUUUGAUCUAUUUAUAGAAGAUGAAAUGUGUAUGCUGACUUUUGUGUAAAAAAUUUUAGUUUUGCUGAUAAUUUGUAAUAUUGGAGGGAAAACAAAGAAUUUGGGUGGGUAAAAAUUUUUGGGGGGGAAAUGAAACAAUAUCUCUCUUAAUUAUCUGAAAUUAAGCUAAUUAUCAACUAUUUUUCCUUUUUCUUUUAAAAAUAACAACAAUAAAAAAUUAUUACUUUUACUGAUGAACAGUAACCUAC